CACUGGGUUUCGGGUGAAAAAAACAAGCUGCGCACGAGCUACUUCACUUCACCGCAGAUAGAAAUCGACGACGUUUGCGUCUCAGAAAGACGGUUUGUUUCUAGAGAGUGUCCUCAAUUUGUACUUUAUUUCUGUAAUAUUUGACAGUUGUCGAAUUUUAAAUAGUUUCUGUUUUAACUUCGCUCGCUCGAGGAGUAACGUUACCGCGUGAUAAAUUUAAAGCGUUUUCCUCAGAGUCGGCCAUCUUACCGUUGGACCAAGACCUUUUUGACGGUUUGAUCAUGAAGGAGGAGGCCAGCCCUGGACGUCUCAGUGAGGGUGUGAAGCUCAUCUUUGAUCAGAAGGCUCCAUCCGGUCCCAGCUCCUCUCGCUCUCACAGCAGCAGCGACAGCUCGUUCUCCAGCAGCAGCAGGGGGAGCCGCUCCUCCCGCAGGUCUCGGAGCUCGUCACGGAGCUCAUCCUCCGACAGCAGCUCUUCCUCACGCUCUCGCUCACGUUCCCGCUCCCGUCCACGCUGCUCGGGCCGCUCACGCUGCCGUCACAGACACCAUUCUCCUCCUCGCCGCUACCGGGCUCGCUCCCGCUCUUACAGCCCUUCUCCUGAGCGUUCCUCCCACCGCAGACGCUACCAUCGCCGCAGUCGCUCUCCAUCCCCCUACAGCUACUCUAGACGCUACAGGCGUUCUCCAUCCCGAUCCCGCUCUCGCAGUCGCUCUCCGGUCUACUGGAGGGGAAGCAGGUUCAUGGGGAGGUACCGGUGCCAUUUCUCACGCUCACCCAGGCGCUCCAGAGAUUACAGAAGCCGGUCUCGCAGCCGUGAACGCUCUGCAGUCCGCCUCAGCCUUGAGGGUAAGAAAUAUCUGUUGAAUGUCGCCAAAGAAAAUGCUGCCAGGAUUUUGGGAGUGCAGAACUUAGAGCUGCCAGCUAGCCUGAAGGAGAUGGAGGAGGAGGAGAAGAUGAGAUCUUCAUCAGAUAGAGAGGAAAGGGUGAGCGCUGGCCCGGCACCACAGAAGACAUCAGCACAGGUGAGCCUCAAACAUGACUACAGACGUGUUACUAACACACAUCCUGUGUUUGUCAGACAUCUGUAAUGUUGCAUGAACGUCCUGAGUGGUUGACCAUAUUCUGACGUUAUAUCUGUCAUCUCGGGACGUUGACUAACCAAUUGAAACGGGUGUAUUUAAAAUGUGAUUGUGCGCUGUACUUACCCAACCUGGGUCACCAUGUAAUCUGUCUCCUCAGACAUGAAUGAUUUUACCUGAUGGAUUUAAUGGAAUGAUGAACAGCACUUGUCCGGAUUAGAGCUGAAACUCCUCCACCCUUUGGACAAAGAGGGAGAGAGGGGGAGGUCACAUGACUUGAAUGACACCAGCUUUAAGUCUUAUGUGCACAACUGCAAAGGUUAAGUAAUUGUGUACAAUGUCAGCGGUAGCCUUGUCGAACACAAACAGGCCACAUGCAUUUGUCUGAUUCACCUCACACAACACUUUCAGCCACCACACAACAACACAUGCGGAAAGGUUUGGGGUCAGUAGAAUUUUUUUUUUUUUUUUUUUUAA